rnacentral:lncRNA from 1 species
UAUAUAGAAAUGAUGGAGAAGGAAAAAGAAUGAUGUUCUUUUUUUGUCUUGCAAAUGUUUUAUGUUUUGAAAUGUGGACACAACAAAAUCUAUUAUUGCAUUAGGUCCAAGUAAACUGGAGUUUGAUGUUAAAUUACACUAAGAUUGGAAAAUAAUGAAAUUUUUUAUUUUUCCAUUGCUGUUCAAUUUAUAGUUUGAAGUGGGUUUUUGACUCCUUGUUUGAUGAAGAAAAAUGCUUGGGGUGUAAGGGACUCUUGAGAUUUCAUCAGAGACUUUUCCUUUUUAAUAAAUCAAACCUUUUGAUGAUUUGGGGUCUUAUCUGCAAAGUUUGGGAAGCAGUCACAAAUGAGACCUGUUAUAAGGUGGUGUUUUGGGGUUUUUUUUCUGGACAGUAUUUACAAGAAUCUGAUUCUUAUUUCCCAGGGAAAUUCUGGGCUCCCACAAAGUAAAUAAUCAUCAUAGAGAAAGAACGAGCAGGAAUAAUUCUUGCUCCAGAAUUGUACAGUAUUCACCUUAGAUUUUUUUUCUCCUUUUGCAAUGAAUUGAAUACAUUUUUCAUGCAUGUUUUCCAGAAAAUAGAAGUGAGUAUUAAUGUUAUUAAAAAGAUUAUUUUUUUUAUUAAAGGCUAUUUAUAUUAUAGAAACUAUCAUUAAUAUAUAUUCUUUAUUUACAUGAUCUGUCCCAUAGUCAUGCAUUGUUUUGCACCCCAAAUUUUUUAUUGUUUGUAGCAGCAUGGUCAGCUUUUCUCUUGAUCUGUGGGUGAGGCUCAGGCACUAUCCCAUUUAUACCAAUGACUAGUGUAUAACUACUUAAGGAAAACAGGUGAAAGUUCCUCCUCUUUCCUUUUAUUUUCUUCUGUUUUCACUUGAAUCCCCCAUCUUCCAUCCUCUUUUAUAGUUGAGAAUGCCUCAACCAUAUGAAAUUAGUUACCAAAAUUAACACAAUUUAGACUAUCUUCCUGAUUGCUUAACCCCUCUAGCAAGGUAUGUUCAUGAAUAGUACUUUAUAAUAGGGGGAAUAGAAACCAUGAACUUUUUACCUUUUUAGCCUAUUUAUUCAGUAUCUCCAUAAUAAAAUUAGGGCCUUAAACCAUCUUAAGAUCAUGUCCCAUUUCCGAGUCGUCAGGGCUCACUCUCCAACUUUAUUAAAUUGCAUUUGAGCACAGGAUACAUUCUUAAACAUUUUGAAAAACAUUAACCCAAGAUGUAGGGGCUAAGGCUAGUUAUCACUCUACAAUCUGAUAUUUUACUCAGUAUUUCAAAUGAAUGAUUAAUGCCCUAGGACAUAGCUUUAGCAAAUGUCCAGGUGCCACACCAGAAAGAGUGCAAUAAUUUACUGACAGUUUCCUAGACUAGGCAUAUUAUUGGAGUACAACUUUAUGAAGACUGCACAUUUUAUACAGCAUCACUUAAAAAAUAUUCAUUUAUGAAAUCAGUUACCUAUAGUAGAAGUCUUGAAUAGUGAACGGGACUCUAAUACAAAUACUCUUAAUAUUUGACUAUUUUAGAACCCUUAAAGGGCAUAAUUACUGGAGAUUUAGGUACCUCACUAAAGCAUGUACAUAAUAUUGCCAGCAAGAAAAAUAAGUUUGGGAACUUAUUUAGGGAACUUACUUCCCUAAACUGUCUUAGAAUAGUUAAGAAGAAUUUAAACUUUGUUCUAAGCAGGAAACCAGAUAGAUUCUUUUGCAGAUAUAGAUUUCAUAACAUUAAAAUUUCAUGAUUAACAAUUAGUGUCUUUUAGAUUUAUUCAGUUAAUACAUACUAACAUCCCAGUAUUUUCUAUAUCAGGGAUUAAUUACAGGAAAACUCAGUGAAAUGGUACAGAUCUGAAGCUUUGAUGGUGGAAACUGAAGUUUUUAACAGAGAACUGUGUUUUACUGAGUGCCAAAAAAGCUUUGAGCUUCCUUGCACAAAGUUUAUACAAUUUUUGCAUUUUUCACAUCAGUCCAGAUAGUUCCCCUUCCCCUAGGACCUCUCCACCAUUAAAACACAAGCCACAUAACUUUUAUCAUUUACGUUUAUUUUUAAGUUAUUACAACCAAAUUAAUUCCGUUUGAAGAAAUGUAGACAAAUUCUAUAAAGAAUAUACAUUAAAUGAACUAGCUAAGUGCAAAGUACAUUUCAAACAAAUCCAAGCAGAGUUUAUGUAAACAACCUUAAAAAUAAGGGAAAAGGGAUAGGUAGUACUCAGAAGGCAAGGAACCAGAAAUUGAAUUAAAUGCUACAUGGGGUGACUAGGAUAUGUUUCAAGUCAGUGAUAAUAUAGCUACUUCCAGGUACUUGAGUAUCAGAGAUCAAUUCCAGUUGGUCAGUUUCUAUGGCUGACCAUCCUUGUCAUUGAAUGUGGUAUAACUGAGCAUUGGCUCAACAAUUUCAUUUGGUCACUUGAGCAAUAUUUCCUUCAAUGACUAUUUUGGAGAAAAGAAGAAAAUCAGGUUUAAAGAAAAUAAAACUAAUUUAAACACAUUCUAGCAAGAAAUAAUCAGCUAUUUGAAAAUCAUGCUUUAACUUUUUAUCAUUUUCAGCUAUAUAAAAUCAUUUAUUUUGAAGAUUUUUAGAAUGCUGUUAAUUUAAAAUCUGUUACUCAUGUUGUGGAAUUUGGUUUUUUAAAAAGAUGUUUCUAAUUGGGUUUUUUAAAGAAGAAUGGAAUUUGGUCACUAUUUUACGAUAGAACCUAAGCUUUUUGUGGUUCUUAGUGUCCUCUGUAAAACUUAGUGUCAAAGUAAUCAACUUUGAGGUUUUUCCCUUCCAAUCUGCUUUAUAUUACAAGCCCUUUAGGAAAUGGGAACCUGGUGAAUAUACAAUGAAUUGUAAAAUAUUUUAAUGUGUAACUUUUUCAACUGUGAAACUAUGACUAUUGGUUUUUUGAAGAAAACAGCUGCUGAUAAAGUAUUUUGUGUAAAGUGUAGUUCUUAUUAAUCAGGAAAAUAAUCAAUUACUUGAUUAGAAUGUAUAUACCCUCUUGGAUUUUAUUUUAAAUGGAUUGGUGAUUUUCAAAUAGGUAAAACACAGUCCAUCUGUAUUUUUUUUCCAUCAAAAAUCUAGUGAUUUGGCAUUUAUUAAAAAAAUUAUGAGCAGUCUAUUUUAAAGGCACCAUGGAAAUUUCACAGUACAUAAACUUGGGUUUCUUAAUGAUUUGUAAAUCCAUUUAAUUCAUAUCAUGACCAGUAGCUCAUGCUUGCCAACUUUUGAAGAAAUUUAAUUUCCAGCAUUAUUUUAAAAUCAGCAAGUUAACUUUUUCUGAAUGUUAUAAGUUCCUUUUGUUUCUAUAUCUGCACAAACUGCAGACCUGGGCUGGACCCACACAUUCAAAAUCCACCUUAAAAGUUGAUUUUGAUGUCCAAGACAUCACUAAAAUACUUCAGUUUAAAGACCAUAUGUGGUGUUAUGGAUUGUGGUGCUUCUACCAUUUAAAAACAACUUUCAUACUUCAGAUGUUUUUGAGAAGAGGGGAAUGUGGAGGGAGGAGUUGCUUGAAUGAAUUACAUCCUUCAUAUCCAUCCUGCUCAGAUCGGGCACUAAGAGAUGGCUGCAAGUUGUGAGAGUAUAUUGUGUGUACCAUGAGGGAAUUAACUCUUCAUGAAGGAUGGGAUUGUGAAGGCUGAACUAUAUAAUUUAGCACUGAUAGAAUCCUCAGACAAUAUCAAUAAUUCUUGGUGACAGAAUAAUACAGCUGGGCUGUUUUUUAAAAUAUAAAGACAAACCAUUUUUAUUUUUAAUUAUUACAUUAAAAAUUAUAAAUGUAUCUUAUGUGCCAUGGCCUGGGAAGCCUUUUUUCUUUUCUCUUCAAAGUUAUUUUCACUUUCUGAAAAGAAUAUAGUGUUUAGCUCAAGAUAACUCUGGUCCUGAUAAAAUUGGAUGGGUAACUCUACCUCAGAAGGUUAAUAAGGAAAAAAAAUAGAUGAGUCAAUAAUUCAGUACUUCCGGCUCUGAUACGACAGAAAUUUGCAGGGCACUGUAUUUUAGAUUUAUAAAGUCAGAGUUGGCAUGCCUUGUUUUUAAUGGCAUUGGAGACAUUAAGAAAAAAUUUGUGUUAAAAUUUAAUCUUUGCUCCAACCAUUAGGAAAAGGCAGUAGUGCCAGGAGGUUCAUGGUACUGGCUUCUUGAAUUCGGCAUUUGAAAUUAGUUUUGUUUUCUUUAUUAUUAGUGAAAUUGGUGUGUGUAUAUUUGCAGACAUUUCUAUUUGUAUACGCAGUGCUUGCUAGCCCUAGUCAAGAGGUAUUCUUUAUAAAAGGUGUAAACAUCAAGGUUCUAAAAUUCAGAAGAGUUUAAAAUUGAUUAGGAGUUUCCCAAGUUGGGAUGUUAGUUUUUAAACAAGCUUAUUUCCUUCAAGUACUCCACUUGAGUAAGGUUUUGCACUUUUUAUCAAUGCAGCGCCAUUCCUUUUGCUUGGUUUUAGAUAUGUUCAUAUUUCAGCCAUGCUAGUUAGCAUAAAGUGAUAGAUACGAGCCAUAAGAAAAUCUUACGACUUAAUUUUUACACAACUACAUUUAAGAGUUUUAGCAGGGAAGAAAAAAGUAAAAUCAGUCCACUGUACAUAUUAGUGUAGUUUGGUAGCUGAUUUUCACACCAACAGUAGACUCCAGUCCUCAUGUUGGUAAGUAUGGGGAGUGUAAUGCAUUUUGUAAGCAUUAAAUUAAGUUUAUGAAUCUAUCUAAAACAUUAUUUAAUCUCUCACUACAAUAAUUUUGUGGUUAUGCUAAGAGCCAUGUAUACUUUUAGGUGAUCCUUUUGUUAAUCCUUCUAGGAUAGCAAGGAGGCAGAAAACCUUCACUGUUUUAUUAUUUUCUCAGAAUAUCUUUAAUAAGACUAAACUCCUUAAUUCUAGUAUAAAUUUCCAAAUGUGGUCACUAUCCACUGAUUUCAUAAGAAAAAUCCUCUUAUCAGAUUUAUGUGUCUAAGAGUACUGGACAGCUUGGCCUUCAUCUGAUUUGUAGAAAUGUUUUUGGCUAUGGAACCAAAGUUUCUAAUGCAGUUAAUGGUUUCAAUGUGACUCAGUCCUCAGACUUUAUUGGAUUGAAUAAAAUCUAAAGGAAUGUAUGCUUUUAGAACAUAACAUCUUGGGAGUGCGGCACUACCAAAAUUAGAAUACUGAUACAUCAACUGUUGACUUUGGAAGCUUCAAAAAGGAGUUCCCAUCACCCUCUUUAGCCCGAUUUAUCGUAGCAAAUCUAUUUCACUAUAUUUUGUCAUUCAAUGAGUUGGAGUCCUGUGGUAUACUGCAUUAGUUAGGAGGAAAAUGUUUUUAAAUGUUCUUUUAAUGAUGGCCCAAAAAGUAUUUGACACAGCAAGUGCAUGUGUUAUUGUACUGAGAAUAUAGAAUAAUACAGUGUCACUAAAUUUAAGACCUCUCCCCAGUCUUGCUGUUCCUGGCAAGAAGUUUGGCCUGUGACUGCACUUACUGUUUAUGCUCAUCAGAAACUGUCAAUGUCUGCUUUACUUUAACUUUGCAGUCUGUAACGUCACGCUGUUUAUUAAAAAAAAUAUUACUUUG